rnacentral:rRNA from 1 species
GUCCUUAGGGGUAUAGUGUAAGGUCUGGCCUGCCCACUGAGAUUUAAAGGGCCGCGGUAUAUUGACCGUGCGAAGGUAGCAUAAUCAGUAGUCUUUUAAUUGGAGGCUUGAAUGAAUGGUCGGACGUAAGGAAAACUGUCUUUACUCUAGGUGUUGAAAUUGACUUUUAUGUGAAAAGGCAUGAAUAGGUUAGGGGGACGAUAAGACCCUAUAAAACUUUAUAUUUGGCUGGUUGGGUUUUAAAUAUUAGGUUAACUGAAUUUGGCUUGUAGGUAUUUUAUUGGGGCGAUAGAGAUAUAAUUAAAUAACUGUCUUAUAAGUGGAAUAAUAAUAGUUAGAAAUGGAUCCUGAAGUUUAGGGUUAAAGUUCAAGUUACUUUAGGGAUAACAGCGUUAUUUCUCUUGAGAGUUCAUAUCGACAGAGAUAGUUGCGACCUCGAUGUUGAAUUAAAAUUACUUUUAGGAGCAGAUAUUUAAUAAGUGGGUCUGUUCGACCUUUAAAAUUUUACAUGAUUUGAGUUCAAACCGGUGUGAG